UCAGGCUAUCCCAGUGCACUGGCCACUGGUCUCCAUAUCCCAACUCUCAAUGCACAAGCGCGCGCAAACACACACACACACACACACACACACACACACACACACAGCACUGAAAAGCUGGGGAGAAAGGGCCAAUGCAUCCAGUGCCUUCAACUCUGUCAGGAAGAGAAGAAUGUAAAGCCCCACCACUGGCAACUUUUUUGGUUCUCCACUCUUUGGUUCGCCACCAUCACUGAUCUGAGGUGUAUAUUUGAACUAAGAAAAAGACUACAAAGGCUUCACACCAAAAUGUUGACAAGAGCUUUCUUUGGGAAGUAGGAUCACAGGUACAUUCUUCUUUUUUUCUGUCUGACCCAAGGCUGCCAGGGAAGAAGUGAGUCAGAAGGCUCUGCCUCAAUGUGCCUUCCAAGAGGUUAUCUACCCUCUGUACCUCAGUAAGGCCAUGUGCAUCAGUGAAGUGGCACCAUUGGAACAUUGGUGCAGCGGUUUUGCAUCAGGCCAACUUAACUAAUUCCUUCCUAGAAUUACCUUCUGUAUGUAGUUUCUCAGGAUUGCCUACAACAGAUAUUUGUGGAGCAUUUGGAAGGUAGAAGUGAAACGGCAGCUUUCAUGUUGUGAAGGUCAAUGUGUGGCUACGGGGGCUGCUUCAAACUUGUCAACACAUUGUGACCCAUCCAGGGACUUUCCCUGUUGGUGUGGGCCCACAGCCUUCCCCAGCUCCUGCCACAUCUUCCCCUUCAGCUACUCUGAGUCUGGAGCAAAGCUUAGGUCCCGUUCUGUGGUAAAGGGUACCAGCUUUUGGUUUCAAAGUCAAGGUUGAAAGUGGCAAGAGAAAAAUAAAAGUUCCUUUGGGGGUUUCACUUUGGCCUCACUCUCUCCCACCUCACAUCUGGCUUUUCUUCCAGACUUCUGGCCCUGCUGAUCUAUAACUACUUCAGACCCAUCACUGGAGUGCACUUCUCAAUUACUCUGUACCUGUACACACUGUGGGACUAGUUCCGACUAAUGAAAUAUGGUGCAGCUACAAGACUGAGAAGCAUCCAUCAGCCUAGAUCCCUGAGUGACUUUGUGCAGCAGAACCUCUCCCACAAACCCCCUCUGGAUAUAUAGAAUGAGCAAGAAAUAAGCAU